rnacentral:rRNA from 1 species
CCCUUAGAUGUUCUGGGCCGCACGCGCGCUACACUGAUGAACGCAACGAGACCACCUGUACCGAAAGGCAUGGGUAAACUUGUGAAAGUUCAUCGUGAUGGGGAUAGAUUAUUGCAAUUAUUAAUCUUCAACGAGGAAUUCCUAGUAAGCGCGAGUCAUCAGCUCGCGUUGAUUACGUCCCUGCCCUUUGUACACACCGCCCGUCGCUCCUACCGAUUGAAUGGUCCGGUGAAGCCUCCGGAUUGGCGCGCACCUCGGUGCCGCCGAGAAGUUGGCUAAACCUUACCAUUUAGAGGAAGGUGAAGUCGUAACA